GGCGAACGCUGGCGGCGUGCUUAACACAUGCAAGUCGAACGGAAAGGCCCUGCUUGCAGGGUACUCGAGUGGCGAACGGGUGAGUAACACGUGGGUGAUCUGCCCUGCACUUCGGGAUAAGCUUGGGAAACUGGGUCUAAUACCGGAUAGGAACCAUCUUUAGUGUGGUGGUUGGAAAGUUUUUUCGGUGUAGGAUGAGCUCGCGGCCUAUCAGCUUGUUGGUGGGGUAAUGGCCUACCAAGGCGGCGACGGGUAGCCGGCCUGAGAGGGUGUACGGCCACAUUGGGACUGAGAUACGGCCCAGACUCCUACGGGAGGCAGCAGUGGGGAAUAUUGCACAAUGGGCGCAAGCCUGAUGCAGCGACGCCGCGUGGGGGAUGAAGGCCUUCGGGUUGGAAACUCCUUUCGCUAGGGACGAAGCUUUUUGUGACGGUACCUAGAUAAGAAGCACCGGCUAACUACGUG
rnacentral:rRNA from 1 species